GUGUUAACCAUCUGAUGGAUUCUUACAAAGACAUUUAUCAGCAGUAUGUAAAAUGUUCAAGACACAAAAAAAUGUCAUAAAUUUAUCUGAAAAGUUUAGUGUGAGACGAUUAAGUCGGAAAUUAUAAGGGAAAGAUGGGGAAAACAUUUUAAUGUAUGACGAUCUCCAAUAUAAAGUGUGUAGAUUAAGUUAUGUCAAUGUCAUAUAUAAAAACCAAUGACGAUCUCCAAUAUAAAGUGUGUAGAUUAAGUUAUGUCAAUGUCAUAUAUAAAAACCAAUGACGAUCUCCAAUAUAAAGUGUGUAGAUUAAGUUAUGUCAAUGUCAUAUAUAAAAACCAAUGACGAUCUCCAAUAUAAAGUGUGUAGAUUAAGUUAUGUCAAUGUCAUAUAUAAAAACCACACAUAAUUAACACCAUUGUCAUUUGUAUAUAAUACAUCUUCAUACAUUGUGUAUGCUUUUCAUGGCUUUACAUAUUUAGAAGUUUUGUAGAUCUCAAUGUCAUGUACACACAUUAGCUGUAGAAAGUUUACUGAGACUUGUCAUGUUCAUUUGAAUGUGAAAUAAAUCCUCGAGAAUAAUGAUAUCAUAUAUUCCUUAAAUGUGUUCACAUAGAGGGUCUCGAAAAAAGGGGCUGAUGUUUUUAAUAUAUUAUGAAAAUGUUUUUAUUCAUUCAAUUGUAUCUAAAGGGACCAAAGACUUCUGUCUUACAUAUAUUUGAAUCUUUUUUGUUAAUUACCAAACAAGUUAUAGCAUAGCAAUAGUAUUUGACCAGAAAAUGAGGAAUUAGAUGCUCGCCUUGUUCAUAUAAAGAUAUAUGUUAUAUUCCAUUUGAGCUAUUGGAAAAGGAAACAUAUUAAAAUGUAACAGCUUAUUUCAGCUUAAGUAUAAAAUUGAGUCAAUGUAAUUUAAACAAUUCUUACUUCAAACACUGAAUAGGUAAAACAUUUCAACAUAAAGGUGAUCAUUUCCUUUUCUACAAAAAAAUAAGUCAUGGCUUUAUCUCAAUGCAGUGAAAGUAUGAUCCCCAAGAAAGAGCUUUUCAGACGAAAAAGUACCAUCAAAGACACCAGGCUUAUAUUUGUGUAUGCCAGCAAUUCAGAAGAAUUUGUAAUGCAGAUUUGCAUCUAUAAUUAAUUAAUAUCACUUAGACUAUGGGUUAUCAGUUUGUUUGUCCAGGAAUCGAGGCAAAAUAAGAAAACAAUUAUCUUGAAUAACUUCUGUAUCAACAAGAAAUCGAAAAGAAAUUAAAGUUGACAUUUUGAAAAAAACAAACUUCAGGAAAUUAUAUAUUUCAAUUGGUCAGAUUUAUCUGAAGUUUAAAGUUACAUUUAAUAGUACCAGAUAAAAAAAAAAAAAAAUUCAAGUAAUGCAGGGUAAAAUAAAUGACAGUAAAAUAUUUGUUAAAUUAACCAAUAUAAAACCUUAGAAUUGAUUCAUCAGAAUGUUUAAUGAGUUAAGAUAUAUAUAUAAAAAAAAUGUAAUAAGUAUUUUAGGAUAUGUUUUUUUUUAUUUUUAAGUAUAACUGAUUUUAUAAAUCCUGUUAAUGACUUAUUUUCAUAGUAUAUAAUGUUAUAUAAAGAACGUGUUAACACAAGUUACAAUGGAACAGGUUUAUGUAAGAAAUGUUUUGUGGAUAUAUUGUAAAACCUUAACAGAAAUCCCUCCUAUGUGAUAAUGUAAUGUUUGUAAAAUUGUGUUUGAUGCAUAAUUCAUUAAUUGUUUACAAAAAUAAACAACAUUUCAUGAUGAUA